ACGGGAGGCAGCAGUGGGGAAUAUUGGGCAAUGGGCGAAAGCCUGACCCAGCAACGCCGCGUGAAGGAAGAAGGUCUUCGGAUUGUAAACUUCUUUUAUGAGGGACGAAGGACGUGACGGUACCUCAUGAAUAAGCUACGGCUAACUACGUGCCAGCAGCCGCGGUAAUACGUAGGUCGCGAGCGUUAUCCGGAUUUACUGGGUGUAAAGGGCGCGUAGGCGGGGAAGCAAGUCAGGUGUGAAAUCUAUGAGCUUAACCCAUAAACUGCACUUGAAACUGUUUUUCUUGAGUGCUGAAGAGGUAGACGGAAUUCCUAGUGUAGCGGUGAAAUGCGUAGAUAUUAGGAAGAACACCAGUGGCGAAGGCGGUCUACUGGACAGUAACUGACGCUGAGGCGCGAAAGCGUGGGGAGCAAACAGGAUUAGAUACCCUGGUA
rnacentral:rRNA from 1 species